CCUACACGACGCUCUUCCGAUCUCGCGGAGAAUUUAACGGGGCUAAACCUGACACCGAAGCUUAGGCAAUGUAGUAAUACAUUGGGUAGGGGAGCGUUGUAUACGCGGUGAAACAGUAGCGCAAGCGGCUGUGGAGUGUAUAGAAGUGAGAAUGCCGGAAUGAGUAGCGCGAAUGCAGUGAGAAUCUGCAUGGCCGAAAGCCUCAGGUUUCUGGAGGAAGGUUCGUCCGCUCCAGGUUAGUCGGGAGCUAAGGUGAGGCCUAACGGCGUAGCCGAUGCACAGACGGUAGAGAUUCCGUCACCACCAAAAGAGUUAAACACAGGGACACAUAUGAAGUCUCGGAGCCGGGUGUUGGUUCCGGUAGCGAUCGAGGGAAGUUAGUACCGAAGUCCGGGAUGGAAGAUGGCGAGAAAAGCUGUGUGUAUUUCUGCGGUGCCCGUACCGCAAACCGACACAGGUAGGUAGGAAGAAGAUUCUAAGGCCAACGGGAGAAGGGUUGUUAAGGAACUCGGCAAGUUGACCCCGUAACUUCGGAAUAAGGGGUGCUCACGAGAGUGAGCCGCAGAGAAUAGGCCCAGGCAACUGUUUACCAAAAACACAGGUUUGUGCUAAAUCGAAAGAUGACGUAUACGAGCUGACGCCUGCCCGGUGCUGGAAGGUUAAGAGGAGAUGUGCAAGCAUUGAAUCGAAGCCCCAGUGAACGGCGGCCGUAACUAUAACGGUCCUAAGGUAGCGAAAUUCCUUGUCAGGUAAGUUCUGACCCGCAUGAAAGGCGUAAUGAUUUGGGCACUGUCUCGACAGCCCGCCCGGCGAAAUUGUAGUACCGGUGAAGAUGCCGGUUACCCGCGACAAGACGGAAAGACCCCAUGGAGCUUUACUGUAGCCUAAUAUUGGGUUUCGAUGUUGCAUGCACAGGAUAGAUGGGACACAGGGAAACAAGUGCUUUGGCAUUUGUGGAGUGGCCGUUGGGAUACCAUCCUUGCGAUAUUGGAAUUCUAACCUGCGCCUUUGAAUCAAGGCGGGGGACAUUGUUAGGUGGGCAGUUUGACUGGGGCGGUCGCCUCCUAAAGAGUAACGGAGGCGUUCAAAGGUUCGCUCAGCUUGAACGGAAAUCAAGCAAAAGAGUGCAAACGCAGAAGCGAGCCUAACUGCGAGACUGACGGGUCGAGCAGUAACGAAAGUUGGAGUUAGUGAUCCGGUGGUAUGUGAGUGGAAAUGCCAUCGCUCAACGGAUAAAAGCUACCCUGGGGAUAACAGGCUGAUCUCCCCCAAGAGUCCACAUCGACGGGGAGGUUUGGCACCUCGAUGUCGGCUCAUCGCAUCCUGGGGCUGUAGUCGGUCCCAAGGGUUGGGCUGUUCGCCCAUUAAAGCGGUACGCGAGCUGGGUUCAGAACGUCGUGAGACAGUUCGGUCCCUAUCUGUCGUGGGCGCAGGAUAUUUGAUGGGAGCUGUUCCUAGUACGAGAGGACCGGAGCGGACGUACCUCUGGCGCACCAGUUGUUCUGCCAAGGGCAUAGCUGGGCAACUAUGUACGGAUCGGAUAAACGCUGAAAGCAUCUAAGCGUGAAGCCGACCCAAAGAUAAGAUAUCCCAUUGUUUCAAACAAGUAAGACCCCUUGAAGACUACAAGGUUGAUAGGCACGAUGUGUAAGUGGAGUGAUCCAUUCAGCAAGCGUGUACUAAUAGGUCGAGGGCUUGACCAC
rnacentral:rRNA from 1 species